rnacentral:rRNA from 1 species
ACGGGAGGCAGCAGUGGGGAAUAUUGGACAAUGGGGGAAACCCUGAUCCAGCGACGCCGCGUGAGUGAAGAAGUAUUUCGGUAUGUAAAGCUCUAUCAGCAAGGAAGAAAAUGACGGUACUUGACUAAGAAGCCCCGGCUAACUACGUGCCAGCAGCCGCGGUAAUACGUAGGGGGCAAGCGUUAUCCGGAUUUACUGGGUGUAAAGGGAGCGUAGACGGCAUCGUAAGUCUGAUGUGAAAGGCAGGGGCUCAACUCCUGGACUGCAUUGGAAACUACGAAGCUUGAGUGCCGGAGGGGUAAGCGGAAUUCCUAGUGUAGCGGUGAAAUGCGUAGAUAUUAGGAGGAACACCAGUGGCGAAGGCGGCUUACUGGACGGUAACUGACGUUGAGGCUCGAAAGCGUGGGGAGCAAACAGGAUUAGAUACCCUGGUA